GUUUGAUCCUGGCUCAGGACGAACCGCUGGCGGCGUGCUUAACACAUGCAGGUCGAGCGGAAAGGCCCCUUCGGGGGUACUCGAGCGGCGAACGGGUGAGUAACACGUGGGUAACCUGCCCUUGGCUUUGGGAUAACCUCGGGAAAUCGGGGCUAAUACCGAAUAUGACACGCGACCGCAUGGUCUGUGUGUGGAAAGAUUUUUCGGCUGAGGAUGGACUCGCGGCCUAUCAGCUUGUUGGUGGGGUAAUGGCCUACCAAGGCAUCGAUGGGUAGCUGGUCUGAGAGGACGAUCAGCCACACUGGGACUGAGACACGGCCCAGACUCCUACGGGAGGCAGCAGUGGGGAAUCUUGCGCAAUGCGCGAAAGCGUGACGCAGCAACGCCGCGUGGGGGAAGACGGCCUUCGGGUUGUAAACCCCUUUCAGGAGGGACGAAGGUUCGCCGGUGAAUAGCCGUGUGGAUUGACGGUACCUCCAGAAGAAGCUCCGGCUAACUACGUGCCAGCAGCCGCGGUAAUACGUAGGGAGCAAGCGUUGUCCGGAAUCAUUGGGCGUAAAGCGCGCGUAGGCGGCCCUGUAAGUCCGUUGUGAAAGUCAAAGGCUCAACCUUUGAAAGCCGAUGGAUACUGCAGGGCUAGAGUCCGGAAGAGGCGAGUGGAAUUCCUGGUGUAGCGGUGGAAUGCGCAGAUAUCAGGAGGAACACCAAUAGCGAAGGCAGCUCGCUGGGACGGUACUGACGCUAAGGCGCGAAAGCGUGGGGGGCGAACAGGAUUAGAUACCCUGGUAGUCCACGCCGUAAACGAUGGGCACUAGGUGUGGGAGGUGUCGACUCCUCCCGUGCCGUCGCUAACGCACUAAGUGCCCCGCCUGGGGGGUACGGCCGCAAGGCUAAAACUCAAAGGAAUUGAC
rnacentral:rRNA from 1 species